rnacentral:misc_RNA from 1 species
GAUGAAGAACGUAGCGAAAUGCGAUAAGUAGUGUGAAUUGCAGAAUUCAGUGAAUCAUCGAAUCUUUGAACGCACAUUGCGCCCGCCAGUAUUCUGGCGGGCAUGCCUGUUCGAGCGUCAUUACAACCCUCAGGCCCCCGGGCCUGGCGUUGGGGAUCGGCGGAGCCCCCCGUGGGCACACGCCGUCCCCCAAAUGCAGUGGCGGUCCCGCCGCAGCUUCCAUCGCGUAGUAGCUAACACCUCGCGACUGGAGAGCGGCGCGGCCACGCCGUAAAACACCCAACUCUUCUGAAGUUGACCUCGAAUCAGGUAGGAAUACCCGCUGAACUUAAGCAUAUCAAUAAGCGGAGGA